rnacentral:rRNA from 1 species
GACGAAGGAUGCAAGCGUUAUCCGGAUUCAUUGGGUUUAAAGGGAGCGUAGGCGGAUUUGUAAGUCAGUGGUGAAAUCUCUGGGCUCAACCCAGAAACUGCCAUUGAUACUGCAGAUCUAGAGUACAGUUGCCGUUGGCGGAAUAUGACAUGUAGUGGUGAAAUACUUAGAUAUGUCAUAGAACACCGAUUGCGAAGGCAGCUAACGAAACUGUAACUGACGCUGAGGCACGAAAGCGUGGGGAUCAAACAGG